UCCUACGGGGGGCAGCAGUAGGGAAUUUUCGUCAAUGGGCGCAAGCCUGAACGAGCAAUGCCGCGUGAACGAGGAAGGUCUUCGGAUCGUAAAGUUCUGUUGAAGGGGAAAAAGAGCGGAGAGAGGAAAUGCUUUCUGAUUGAUAUUACCCUUCGAGGGAGUCACGGCUAACUACGUGCCAGCAGCCGCGGUAAUACGUAGGUGGCGAGCGUUAUCCGGAAUGAUUGGGCGUAAAGGGUGCGUAGGCGGGGAGGCAAGUCAGAUGUGAAAACCACGGGCUCAACCUGUGGCCUGCAUUUGAAACU
rnacentral:rRNA from 1 species